rnacentral:rRNA from 1 species
UCCGUGAUGACGCGGAGGGACAUUA